GAUGAACGCUGGCGGCGUGCCUAACACAUGCAAGUCGAACGGAGAUUACGGACGGAAGUUUUCGGAUGGAAGCCUGUAAUUCUUAGUGGCGGACGGGUGAGUAACGCGUGGGCAACCUGCCCUAUACAGGGGGAUAGCAGCUGGAAACGGCUGGUAAGACCGCAUAGGUCGGUUAAAUCGCAUGAUUUGAUCGGGAAAUGAGCAAUCAGGUAUAGGAUGGGCCCGCGUCCGAUUAGCCAGUUGGCAGGGUAAAAGCCUACCAAAGCGACGAUCGGUAGCCGGACUGAGAGGUCGGACGGCCACAUUGGGACUGAGACACGGCCCAAACUCCUACGGGAGGCAGCAGUGGGAGAUAUUGCACAAUGGAGGAAACUCUGAUGCAGCGACGCCGCGUGAGUGAAGAAGUAUUUCGGUAUGUAAAGCUCUAUCAGCAGGGAAGAUGAUGACGGUACCUGACUAAGAAGCCCCGGCUAACUACGUG
rnacentral:rRNA from 1 species